rnacentral:rRNA from 1 species
GACGAACGCUGGCGGCGUGCUUAACACAUGCAAGUCGAACGGAAAGGCCCUGCUUGCAGGGUACUCGAGUGGCGAACGGGUGAGUAACACGUGGGUGAUCUGCCCUGCACUUCGGGAUAAGCCUGGGAAACUGGGUCUAAUACCGGAUAGGAGCCAUUUUUAGUGUGAUGGUUGGAAAGUUUUUUCGGUGUAGGAUGAGCUCGCGGCCUAUCAGCUUGUUGGUGGGGUAAUGGCCUACCAAGGCGGCGACGGGUAGCCGGCCUGACAGGGUGGACGGCCACAUUGGGACUGAGAUACGGCCCAGACUCCUACGGGAGGCAGCAGUGGGGAAUAUUGCACAAUGGGCGCAAGCCUGAUGCAGCGACGCCGCGUGGGGGAUGACGGCCUUCGGGUUGUAAACUCCUUUCGCUAGGGACGAAGCUUUUUGUGACGGUACCUAGAUAAGAAGCACCGGCUAACUACGUG